AUACGUCGUAAUUUAAGCAAGACCUACCUCAGUCCGUGGGUGAUCACUACAUGUACACUACGUGUAUCCAAGAUGCAGACUCUUACCAUGCUGACUGGUCUAUGCUAAGAACACGCAGGUGAAGAAACUGACAUUGGGUCACAGUGCUUUCGGAUACAAGUUGUUACAGACACAAAUCAAAGCCACCGUGUGCAUUAACAGACGCAGCGUGCGGGAUGAGGGGAGGUCAAACAUGGCUGUUACUACUAAUGGUGCUGGUUGACCGUUGUCAAGCCGUUCCUCCAGUCAUCUCCGGGUUUCCUUCAGUCUACCGAGUUAUAGCAGGUGACGAAGUGGGCAUUGACUGCAGCACCUACACAACCGACGGUGUACCGCCGACCACCACGUACAGCUGGCGGAGCGGCGCCUACCGCCAAGAUGGUCCUGUUCUGGGGCGGGUUGUUCAAAGGGGUAUGGACAGUGAAACCUACAACUGUACAGCAUCCAACACCCAAGGAGAGGCCACAGCGUCUGUGUUCGUUGAUAUACUAUACGGACCAUGGCCCCCUCCACGUGGAUCUUCAGAGAGAAUGAUGGAAUUUUCGAACUUUGGAGAAGAUGGAAGGGGUGGAUUCACCCCAGGGAACCCCAACGUUACAUCCUUUGUGUGGACAGGGCCUCAGAAUUUCACAUCAAACGGUUCUAUACUGUACAUCCAGAACAUUACCAGAUCUCAGCGAGGGACUUAUACCUUGACCGCCUCCAACUUUCUACAGCCAACAAACAAACCUCCAGUGUGGGCUGAAACGUAUUAUUAUGUCCAUCUUGACGUGUACUACCCUCCAAACAUAUCCGGCCUACAAAGAAGCAUCUUGUUGGAGAAUGUCCUAAACCUGAAUUGUAGUAACUACACAACGCCAGGCAACCCAGAUUUCGAGAACACGUUCAUGUGGAGUGAUGAGGAUGGCAACAACAUCACCGGCCCAAUUCUGACCCUCAACUCCUCUUUUAUUGGGACUAGGACCAAACUCCGCUACACCUGUUACGUCAGCAACUUAAUUGGGAGCGACACAGCCUACGUUGAUGUGAUUCUGGUUUAUUCCAUCUGAGGUAAGUAGGUCACCGUCACUAACACUGCCGGAAUGAAGUCAAGAUGGACUUCGCGGACUAAGCAAUGGAAAACAAAAAGAUCGCAGAUCUUGCGAGUUAUGACGAUACAACUCAGAGGAAUCCUAACAAUGCAGCAUUCGGAAAACGAUCUGAUGAGAAAUCAAGCGCCAAAAGCAUUCAUUU
rnacentral:misc_RNA from 1 species